GUUGGAGGCGUCUGGGCCCCAGAUUUGCCAUCUAGGGCGAAAGGGGCUGAGAACCUGCUCUGGUCUCUGUGAUAACAGGGCUGCUCUGCUAGUUGGAGGGGAAAUAAAACAUAGGCGUUGCCAUAGUAACCGUGGAGGUGGCGGGGACUGACAUGCAAUAGAUUUCUGUAUAUAGACUUUUUUCACCUUCUAAUCUUCGUCUGGCAGAGGUAAAACACUCACCACAUGUUCCACUUGCUCCCUGGCUCCUCCCACACUGCUGUAGGGAACUUGGGGACAUGGGACAGUUCUGGCUACUGAAAUCAACACCGGACAUUCCAGACAGAGGCCUGCAUGAGCCUUGGUCCCUGAGCAGCUACGGGACAGAGCCCUCCUGCCAACUGCCAUGGUUUGAGUUGCCUGUUUAACUGUAACUUGGACCCACUGACCAAACUCUUCCCAUUCUCCUUCUCCCUUACCCUUCCCAGCACCCCCACGUCUAUGAGAUCAUCUAUUUUAGAUGCCACAUAAAAGUGAGAUCAUGUCGGAAUUUUCUUUGUGAGCCUGGCUUGUUUCAGUUAAGAAAAUGUCCUUCAGGUUCAUUCAUGUUGCUGUAAAUGACAGGAUCUUAUACUUUUAUAUGUCCAAAUAAUUUAAAAGAAG
rnacentral:lncRNA from 1 species